rnacentral:rRNA from 1 species
UACGUAGGGUGCGAGCGUUGUCCGGAAUUAUUGGGCGUAAAGAGCUUGUAGGCGGUCUGUCGCGUCUGCUGUGAAAAUCCGGGGCUCAACCCCGGACUUGCAGUGGGUACGGGCAGACUAGAGUGUGGUAGGGGAGACUGGAAUUCCUGGUGUAGCGGUGAAAUGCGCAGAUAUCAGGAGGAACACCGGUGGCGAAGGCGGGUCUCUGGGACGGUACUGACGCUGAGACGCGAAAGCGUGGGGAGCAAACAGG